rnacentral:lncRNA from 1 species
AACUCCCAAAAUUUCUGGUCAUGCAAUCGGGUCCAAGGAUAUAAGCAGUAAAAUCCAUUAAUCAACUCCUAGCAAUAACACUAACCCAUCCAGUGUGUCACAUUCGUCAACACAUAACGAGAGAUCUCCGAAACUCAUCUAUCUGAGACCCUCGAAAACACAACGAUACUAAGUAUGGAAGUACAUCCAAACUCUCUCCGCCAGUACUGGGGAUGCCGGACUCCUUUCGUUACUACUUGUAUUAAAGAAAUUUCAAACAUCCUUCGUCCUAAGAUACUAAGAAUUCUGAAUGAUAACGAUCUUCUCAAGAAUCCCCUGGACCUCAACUCUCCGGAAGAAAUCAAGUCAGACAGGAGGCACCAAGACAUAACUCCAUCACAUCGACAUCAUAUAGAUUCCAAAAUACCCGCGUGAUCCU